ACCUAAGAUACAGCAUAAAAAUCUGACAUGUCUCGCACCCCUAGAAAGGGCAUCUCGCACCCCGAGGGGGUGCGUACACCCCAGGUUAAGAACCACUGGGUGAAGGUCUAGCUAAGCAGGACUCAGCUUUCAUUAUGUAAACUGGGGUCCAGGAAGGAGACCGGGAAGAAGAUUGGAAGUAACAGAAGCAGAAGGAAAGGAGCAAAAGGCUGGAAGAAGAACAAAGGGAGACAAGGAACACCAAGAAGGGGGACGACCUGGAAGAAGAACUCACCUCCGAGCGACAGCCUAAGAGCCAUGGACUUGGAAGACUUUGCUGAAGCCACAAAAGAGGGUAUCGCCAGGAGGGCUUUGGCUUCCGUGACCACGGGUUGCUGUUCCAAGAAGAAGGACUGCUAAGCAGCGAUGGGAUCCACCUUUCGAGUAUUUACACAAUGUGAUUUUUGGAGCCUUUGACAUUUCUACCCUUUGAGCCGGCCGCCAGUUUUCCCCGUUGCUGAAAUGGCUUGAAUCUGUGUAAUCGACACACCAACACGGGUUGACUUUGAAGUCUCUUGCUCCGAGCCUAUUUCAGAAGAUCCGGUUGCUGGGCCUAGAGUCUCGACAACGCCAGGACUUCGGACUGGAGAGUUACCUGGCCCUGGGAAGUCACGGCAGAACAACAUCUUGGCGCCAUGAGUGGUCACUGAUUGGUGGACAGUGGCCCGGCCCUACAGAACACAUUCAAGGCAGAAAUCGUUACAGCUUCAUCGAUUUCAAGGCCAGAAGGGCCCACUGUGAUCAUCUUGUCUGACCCGUAUCACACCCCCCCACUUUCCCCCAAAAUAGUUCCAGUUGAACAAAACCAGGGCUUGAGAAGUCCCGUGUAAGAGGCUGGCAUUAGGCACGGCCGGCCCGUCAGAAAUGAUGCCUGCUAUUCAAUGAAGGUCUCUUGCAGGAUCAGGGCGGCUUGUGAGGGACCGUGGGGGGACUUGCUGCAUGGAUCUCGAGUGGGGGGCACAAACGGAUUAGAGGGGAGGCUCACGCAGAUCCCUGUGGAGAAGCAUCCCCAGGGCAUGUGGAUAAACUCGAGUAUUUCACGUGCGGCGCCAUAUCACAGUCAGCGGUGCACUUUGCAGCCCACCUGCAGGGGGCUGAAGGGUUAAAAGAAACAUCAUUGCGGGCCAAAACCACCAUCUGGCAGACUGACUGUGCGGCUCUUCCCCUUGGCCCACAAGCUCCCUACAGGAAGGCAGCCCGCGUGAAAGGCGCCCACACAGAGAAGUGACCCACGAGUCUAAAAAGCGAGGAGAAUGCAGAACUAAUUGCCCACGUACAGGGAAGCAGGUCGCUCCAUGCCCAUGUUUACAGCCAGGGCUGGGUAAACCCAGUGGCAGGGAUUAAAAUCAACCCCCCACCCCGGCUACUCUGAGGGCGUGGUUUCCCAACGCCAGAGGGCGUGCUUUGCUCGUCGUUUGCAACCGUUUUCCAGCAAGGUCUCCCGUGAGGCUGGAAUCCUCAGCUGCCAGCCACUGACAUGGGACUUUUCAAGCCUGCAUCUUAAAGCAGUUUGCAAAGGAGGGUGAGAACCAGCACGUGGGGAAACUGAGGCACGGCGCAGCGACUUGCCCAAGGUCUCACAACAAGCUCAGUGGCAGAGCCAGAAGCCAGGAUUCCUGCGUACUGUCAGGUGGGCGCCGCUGACGUGAACAGGCCCAAGCCAACGCGCCCCAGAACACGUCACUUCUUGGGGCUCGCUUAGCAGGUGUUGCUGAAACACCGAACUGAGGAAUAGGCUCACCGCGAGCAAGAGGCAGAAACGAACGAAACCAGGGACCCUCAGACCUCAGUGCUUCAGGGCCAAGUGACUGACCAGCACUAGCCAAAAGGGCCACAGCGGUGUGAAUUCACGGGCUCAUUUACAGUACGGGCUAGUGGGCUUGCCUGGCAUCCAGGGCAGGGGGCUAGCGGGGCGAAGGGGGGGAGCAAUGCAGGAGGCUGGGAGUAGAGGGGGGCUGAAAGAAGGAAGGUUGGGGGAUGAGGAGGGGCUCAAGGUGGGGGGGACCCAUCCAGCACGAGCCCUUUCUUUCCCCCAAGUCCCCCCACCAGCCAUCAGGGGCCUUUUUUCUCCCCCCAGCUGCCAGUGGGCUUCCCCCCCGCCCCCCAGAGCUGCAGCGAGGGGCCGGGAGAGGGGGAAAGGGUUCGGGAUAGGAGGGUUAUUUACUGGUGUGCUGGUAGCCAAGAUGUACCACUCCCUUGGUGGUACAGCUGCCCCCAGUGGCCACGUCCCUCCAAACAGCAGCCCCUCCCUUUGCAUGUGGUGGAAAACAGUCCCUUUCCAGGGCUUCCGGUUGUCCUGGCACCACCAAACCCUGACUUUGCUUUCAGUUAGGAGAAGAAGAAGUCGACAACCAAAAAUUUGGUGGCCCUCGCUCUUCCCGUUGAGGAGGAGUUCUUGCAAACGGACUCACAGACAGACAUACGCACUCUAAAAUAUAGAGAGAGAGAGAUUAAGUCUGUUUACAUAGUUAAACAACAUGACAGGGAAAUUAAUUAUAUAUAAUUAUCCGCACAGCAAAUAACAGAGCAGCUAUGCCGAUUUCAUCCAUUAUAACUGUUUCCUAGCAUCACAAAAGCAUCCCGAUCGGCCAAUCAUUCCGUUGCACAGUAGUUUAAUGUCAUGUGCUGCGAAGAGUUGCAGGAGACACAUUAAACAGCCACUUGCGGCUUGCGAACCUCAUUUUGAGAAGCGCUGAACUAAACUAACAAUUGUGUGUACGUUUCUUGUAAACACCGUAGGCAGACGUUCCCUCUCUGGAUGGACUUGCCUUACGGAGCCUGCAAAGGAAUUGGUCCUUACAUGCAAGAAAUACAGAUGGUAGUAACGAGGGGCAUGUGUCGACACUAGGAAAUUAUUCCAGAAUAACUUAUUU